GGCGGGCAUGCCAGGGUAAACCGACCGCUCCCUCCCCACACGUACGCGCAGGCUAGUUAAAGCGCGCACGCGCGGCCCGCUGGUGAUCGGUCGAGGGGAUGAGGCGACGGCGACGGCGACGUGAAAGAGGCCAUCGCGCGCGGUCGUCGAUCGUUGUCGAUCUAAUCGCGUCGCGCCGCCAACCUCGUGCCGCGCCGUUGAUGCGAUGCCAUCUACGGAGGACGGACGCGCGGUCCGGCCGGGGAAACGCGCGCCGGACCGAUAUGCCGGCACGCUUCCGGAAGGGCCGUGGAAGGAUCGGACCCGAAGGAUGACGUGUCGAGCAGGCGCGGUGGAUCCCUCCCCGCGGUUACACUUACACGGGAUUUUGCUUUUCUUUCGCUUCUGCUAAACCUNN
rnacentral:lncRNA from 1 species